UGCCAGCCGCCGCGGUAAUACGGAGGGGGCAAGCGUUGUUCGGAUUUACUGGGCGUAAAGAGCACGUAGGCGGUUUUGCAAGUCAGGCGUGAAAUCCCAGGGCUCAACCCUGGAACUGCGUUUGAAACUGCAAGACUUGAGUCCCGGAGAGGUUGGCGGAAUUCCCAGUGUAGAGGUGAAAUUCGUAGAUAUUAGAAGGAACAUCAGAGGCGAAGGCGGCUUUCUGGUCCGAUACUGACGCUGAGGUACGAAAGCGUGGGGAGCAAACAGGAUUAGAUA
rnacentral:rRNA from 1 species